rnacentral:rRNA from 1 species
CCUACGGGGGGCAGCAGUGGGGAAUAUUGGGCAAUGGAGGAAACUCUGACCCAGCGACGCCGCGUGCGGGAUGAAGGCCUUCGGGUUGUAAACCGCUUUCAGCAGGGAAGAAGCGAAAGUGACGGUACCUGCAGAAGAAGCACCGGCUAACUAUGUGCCAGCAGCCGCGGUAAUACAUAGGGUGCAAGCGUUGUCCGGAAUUAUUGGGCGUAAAGAGCUCGUAGGUGGUUCGUUACGUCGGAUGUGAAAAUCUGGGGCUCAACCCCAGACCUGCAUUCGAUACGGGCGAACUAGAGUGUGGUAGGGGAGACUGGAAUUCCUGGUGUAGCGGUGGAAUGCGCAGAUAUCAGGAGGAACACCAAUGGCGAAGGCAGGUCUCUGGGCCAUUACUGACACUGAGGAGCGAAAGCGUGGGGAGCGAACAGGAUUAGAUACCCUAGUAGUC